AAGAUUUAAUUUAUUUUUUUUUAUUUUUAUAUUAUUUAAGUUGUUAAAAAUUUUAUUUAAAAGUUUGUACAUUUUUGUUUUUAUUUUUUAAUAAUACUUUUGUAGUACCUUUUGUAUCAGGGUAAAUUUAAUGUUUAAUUUAUAUUAUUUUCCCGAAUUUAAGUUAUUUAGCCUUAAAUAUUUAUAUAUGUUUUAUAAUAUUUUUAUAUUUUAGGUUGGUAGUUAUAAGUUAAUCGACUUUAAUGUUAUCUGGUUAAUUUAGAUUAAAUUUAAUUUUUAUUUAUUUAUUUUUAUUUUAAUUUAAAAUUUUAAUUAUAUUUUAUAAGGGAUUAGCUUUAUAUUUUUAUAUUUAUUACAAUUUUUGAAGUUUAUUUUCUUUUAUAAUUUGUUAUUUAGUUUUUAAUAAUUUAAUUUUAGUUAAUUUUAUUUUUUUAUUAAUAUUUACUUAUAAAUUACAUAGAAUUAUUUUGUUUUCUUUUUUAUAAUGAUUUAAUUAGUAUAAUUUUAAUUUUAAUUAGAAUUAACUCGACAACUAUUAUUUUCAACUGUUUAUCAAAAACAUUUCUUUUAGUUUUUAUUAAAAGUAAGUUCUGCCCAAUGAUUAGUUUAAUGGCUGCAGUAUUUUGACUGUACAAAGGUAGCAUAAUAAUUUGUUUCUUAAUUGGGGACUUGUAUGAAAGAAUAAAUGAGAAAUAAUUUUUAUUUGAUUAAUUUUUAGAAUUUUAAUUUUAGUAAAAAUUCUAAAUUUUUUAUUUGGGACGAAAAGACCCUAUAGAACUUUUCAUAUUUAAAUAUGUUUUAUUGGGGUGAUAGUUAAAUUUAAACUUUAAUUUCUUAUUUCAAUUAUAAUUGACUUUAAAUAUUUUUAUUUUACAAGUUAAAGUUACCUUAGGGAUAACAGCGUAAUUUAAGUGGGGAGUUCAUAUCUAUACUUAAGUUUGCGACCUCGAUGUUGAAUUAAGAUAAAAAAUUGGGGUAGAUUUUAUUUUUUUAAGUCUGUUCGACUUUUAAAUUCUUACAUGAUUUGAGUUCAAACCGGUGUAAGCCAGGUUGGUUUCUAUCUUGAUUUAUUAAAGUAAUUUAGUACGAAAGGACCAUUUAUUUUAUUUUUAAUAUUAAUUUUU
rnacentral:rRNA from 1 species